rnacentral:rRNA from 1 species
CGGCCGCGUCGACGACGAACGCUGGCGGCGUGCCUAAUACAUGCAAGUCGAGCGAGCUGAAUUCAAAGAUUCCUUCGGGAUGAUUUGUUGGACGCUAGCGGCGGAUGGGUGAGUAACACGUGGGCAAUCUGCCCUAAAGACUGGGAUACCACUUGGAAACAGGUGCUAAUACCGGAUAACAACAUGAAUCGCAUGAUUCAAGUUUGAAAGGCGGCGCAAGCUGUCACUUUAGGAUGAGCCCGCGGCGCAUUAGCUAGUUGGUGGGGUAAAGGCCUACCAAGGCAAUGAUGCGUAGCCGAGUUGAGAGACUGAUCGGCCACAUUGGG